rnacentral:rRNA from 1 species
AUUGAACGCUGGCGGCAUGCUUUACACAUGCAAGUCGAACGGUACGGGACGUUCGGUCUGCCGACGAGUGGCGAACGGGUGAGUAAUAUAUCGGAACGUGCCCAGUAAUGGGGGAUAGCUCGGCGAAAAGCCGGAUUAAUACCGCAUACGCCCUGAGGGGGAAAGUGGGGAUCUUCGGACCUCACGUUAUUGGAGCGGCCGAUAUCAGAUUAGCUAGUUGGUGGGGUAAAGGCCUACCAAGGCGACGAUCUGUAGCUGGUCUGAGAGGAUGAUCAGCCACACUGGGACUGAGACACGGCCCAGACUCCUACGGGAGGCAGCAGUGGGGAAUAUUGGUCAAUGGACGAAAGUCUGAACCAGCCAUGCCGCGUGCAGGAUGACGGCCCUAUGGGUUGUAAACUGCUUUUAUAUAGGAAGAAACCUACCCGACGUGUCGGGAGCUGACGGUACUAUACG